rnacentral:tmRNA from 1 species
GGGGUCGUCUGGUUUUGACAGCGGGUAGAAGAGGUAAGUAAGCAUGUCGAGCGCUGUGUAAUCUGCUCGUAAAUAUCGAUACUCAAACUAUAUCUGGCGAAAAUAAUUACGCUCUUGCUGCUUGAUUGAAGAAUAGUAGAUCAUAGCUUAAUCCCCUCAAGAUGAGGGGACGAGACAUCUCUCAAAUGCCGUAGUCUCGAGGCUAUUUGAUAAAGAGGUGCAGUUAAAUCGAGAAUAGUUUGGUACAGCCUUGUGUACUAAAUGAAGCAAAAAAGGAUAAGGUAUACGUUGGUAGUUUCGGCCUUACUAAUACUCGAAAAUUUAAGCGAAAAUAAACAUGUAGAAAGCUUAUUGCUUCCUCGUUUGGACGCGGGUUCGACUCCCGCCGGCUCCACAU